rnacentral:rRNA from 1 species
CCUACGGGCGGCUGCAGUGGGGAAUAUUGCACAAUGGGCGCAAGCCUGAUGCAGCCAUGCCGCGUGUGUGAAGAAGGCCUUCGGGUUGUAAAGCACUUUCAGCGGGGAGGAAGGCGUUAAGGUUAAUAACCUUGGCGAUUGACGUUACCCGCAGAAGAAGCACCGGCUAACUCCGUGCCAGCAGCCGCGGUAAUACGGAGGGUGCAAGCGUUAAUCGGAAUUACUGGGCGUAAAGCGCACGCAGGCGGUCUGUCAAGUCGGAUGUGAAAUCCCCGGGCUCAACCUGGGAACUGCAUUCGAAACUGGCAGGCUAGAGUCUUGUAGAGGGGGGUAGAAUUCCAGGUGUAGCGGUGAAAUGCGUAGAGAUCUGGAGGAAUACCGGUGGCGAAGGCGGCCCCCUGGACAAAGACUGACGCUCAGGUGCGAAAGCGUGGGGAGCAGACAGGAUUAGAUACCCGAGUAGUC